rnacentral:lncRNA from 1 species
AGAAGAAGAACAAGAACAAGAACAAUAAGAACAACAACAACAACAAUAAUAAGAACAACAAUAACAACAACAAUAAUAACAAAAUAACAAGAAUAAGAAUAAAAACAAUAACAAUAAAAACAAGAACAAGAACAACAAAAAUAAAAACAAAAAUAAAAACAAAACAAAAUCAAUAGAAUCGUUAAACAUUGAUCAUCUACAACAACAACAUUAACAUCAACAAAAAAAAUCAAAAGAAUCGUUAAACAUUAAAUCUUAACAACAAAAACAAAAAC